UACGUAGGGUGCAAGCGUUGUCCGGAAUUAUUGGGCGUAAAGAGCUUGUAGGCGGUUUGUCGCGUCUGCCGUGAAAACUGGAGGCUCAACCUCCAGCCUGCAGUGGGUACGGGCAAACUAGAGUGCGGUAGGGGAGAUUGGAAUUCCUGGUGUAGCGGUGGAAUGCGCAGAUAUCAGGAGGAACACCGAUGGCGAAGGCAGAUCUCUGGGCCGUAACUGACGCUGAGGAGCGAAAGCAUGGGGAGCGAACAGG
rnacentral:rRNA from 1 species